CGUUCCGAGGUCAGAGGGGAAGGCAGGGCAACUCGACGGAGAGGUGCGAAGGAGGGUACAGUUCCAAGUCUCCUUGGAGGAUGGAAAAGUUUUUUUGCAGGGUUUCUCCUGUGUGUCCGCUGGUCAUCAAAAAUAAUCAGCUCGGGCCCUCCCUGGUGGCGCAGCGGCUUAAAGCACAGCACUAAGAAGC